rnacentral:rRNA from 1 species
AGUGAACGCUGGCGGUAGGCCUAACACAUGCAAGUCGAACGGCAGCACAGUAAGAGCUUGCUCUUACGGGUGGCGAGUGGCGGACGGGUGAGGAAUACAUCGGAAUCUACUUUUUCGUGGGGGAUAACGUAGGGAAACUUACGCUAAUACCGCAUACGACCUACGGGUGAAAGCAGGGGAUCUUCGGACCUUGCGCGAUUGAAUGAGCCGAUGUCGGAUUAGCUAGUUGGCGGGGUAAAGGCCCACCAAGGCGACGAUCCGUAGCUGGUCUGAGAGGAUGAUCAGCCACACUGGAACUGAGACACGGUCCAGACUCCUACGGGAGGCAGCAGUGGGGAAUAUUGGGCAAUGGGCGCAAGCCUGAUCCAGCCAUACCGCGUGGGUGAAGAAGGCCUUCGGGUUGUAAAGCCCUUUUGUUGGGAAAGAAAAGCAGCAGGUUAAUACCCCGCUGUUCUGACGGUACCCAAAGAAUAAGCACCGGCUAACUUCGAG